rnacentral:tRNA from 1 species
GCCGGCGUGGCGGAAUGGCAGACGCGCUCGACUCAAAAUCGAGUGGGAACCGUGGAGGUUCGAGUCCUCUCGCCGGUA